rnacentral:rRNA from 1 species
ACGGAGACUGCAAGCGUUACUCGGAUUCAAUGGGCGUAAAGGGUGCGUAGGCCGAUAGAUGUGUCAGGUGUGAAAUCUCGGGGCUUAACCUCGAAACUGCGCCUGAAACUGUCUAUCUAGAGUAUUGGAGAGGUAAGCGGAAUUUCUGGUGUAGCGGUGAAAUGCGUAGAUAUCAGAAGGAACACCAAUGGCGAAGGCAGCUUACUGGACAAUAACUGACGCUGAGGCACGAAAGCGUGGGUAGCGAAAGGG